rnacentral:rRNA from 1 species
CUACGGGAGGCAGCAGUGAGGAAUAUUGCACAAUGGAGGAAACUCUGAUGCAGCAACGCCGCGUGGAGGAUGACGCAUUUCGGUGUGUAAACUCCUUUUAUAUGUCAAGAAAAUGACGGUAGCAUAUGAAUAAGCACCGGCUAACUCCGUGCCAGCAGCCGCGGUAAUACGGAGGGUGCAAGCGUUACUCGGAAUCACUGGGCGUAAAGGACGCGUAGGCGGGAUAUCAAGUCAGGUGGGAAAUCCUACAGCUUAACUGUAGAACUGCACUUGAAACUGGUAACCUAGAGUAUGGGAGGGGAGAUGGAAUUAGUGGUGUAGGGGUAAAAUCCGUAGAUAUCACUAGGAAUACCUAAAGCGAAGGCGAUCUCCUGGAACAUAACUGACGCUAAGGCGUGAAAGCGUGGGGAGCAAACAGGAUUAGAUACCCGGGUAGUC